UACGUAGGGAGCAAGCGUUGUUCGGAUUUACUGGGCGUAAAGGGCGCGUAGGCGGCAAUUCAAGUCAGCUGUGAAAUCUCCGGGCUUAACUCGGAACGGUCAGCUGAUACUGCUUUGCUAGAGUGCGGAAGGGGCAAUCGGAAUUCUCGGUGUAGCGGUGAAAUGCGUAGAUAUCGAGAGGAACACCUGAGGUGAAGACGGGUUGCUGGGCCGACACUGACGCUGACAGCGCGAAAGCCAGGGGAGCGAAACGGG
rnacentral:rRNA from 1 species